UUGAACUGAAGAGUUUGAUCCUGGCUCAGAUUGAACGCUGGCGGCAUGCCUUACACAUGCAAGUCGAACGGCAGCACGGGCUUCGGCCUGGUGGCGAGUGGCGAACGGGUGAGUAAUACAUCGGAACAUGUCCUGUAGUGGGGGAUAGCCCGGCGAAAGCCGGAUUAAUACCGCAUACGAUCCACGGAUGAAAGCGGGGGACCUUCGGGCCUCGCGCUAUAGGGUUGGCCGAUGGCUGAUUAGCUAGUUGGUGGGGUAAAGGCCUACCAAGGCGACGAUCAGUAGCUGGUCUGAGAGGACGACCAGCCACACUGGGACUGAGACACGGCCCAGACUCCUACGGGAGGCAGCAGUGGGGAAUUUUGGACAAUGGGGGCAACCCUGAUCCAGCAAUGCCGCGUGU
rnacentral:rRNA from 1 species